rnacentral:lncRNA from 1 species
UCCUUAUGAGGAAUUUUUCUUGAAGUUCAACAGCUCAUAACUUACGAUCUAACCGUCUAAACAACUCCAAAUUUUACAUGGAGUACUGAUAUAUCUUUAACAACUACCACACCAAAAUUCAACCGUAAAUUCGUCUUGGAUCUUGUGAUAUCUUGAAAACCCUAACUGUAGCUUCAAACCCUAGCUUUUUUACACCCGUGUACAACUUCCUUCAUAUCUCACAAAGUAAUUAUUCAAAUACUAUGAAACUCUGAUCUAAAGCUUCUUAACUCAAUUACACACACUUGUGAAAAUUUUGAGUCAAAAAUUCGUCCAGAAACUCAAGAUAUGGCUUCACCCAUAACUAGCAACAAAACAAUAUACUUACUGCCUUCAAAUUACAAGUGCUGUCUUCAACGCCUCAUAACUCCUUCACCCAAUCUUAUAAUUCACUAUACAGUAAAUAGAAUGUGUAGCCGAGAAAAUGCUCCCUCCAAAUCCAGUCGCCGAUCGUCUGUUGCUCUCCGUAUUCGUAUGUGAUGCCCAAAAGAAGUGACAGUAGGUAUGAAAUUGACACCUUAUCUUUGAACAUUCAUAUCUUUUCCAUAAAAACUCGAAAUCAUACAAAAUCUUCACCCAAAUUAUAUCCAAAACCCUAAACCUUCUGACCCUAGCCUCAAAAGCU